rnacentral:lncRNA from 1 species
AGUAUUUCAUCCCAAAGAAAACACGGUAUAUAUAUAUAUAUCUCUCCACAGCGGAUGCCCCUGCUAGCAAGACCGAAAAUCGAAUGGACGGUUGACCGUGACCUACAAACUGGAGAGACGAGCGGGGCCCACCCGUCCUCCUCUCCACAGCAACCCGUCGAAAAUAUCUCACGGCCAUGGCCCAUAGCAUGGCCCAGCAGAUUUUUUUACAUAGUCCAAAACAAGGAAGGAGAUUUUUUACAAUGGAUAUGCUACGCUUACACGGGGCCCACAGGCAUCGGGGGAUGCGGGGCCCANNN